UACAGAGGGGGAGAGCGUUAAUCGGAAUUACUGGGCGUAAAGCGCGCGUAGGCGGUUUUGCAAGUCGGAUGUGAAAUCCCCAGGCUUAACCUGGGAACUGCAUUCGAGACUGCAUUGCUAGAGUAUGGGAGAGGUAAGUGGAAUUUCCGUUGUAGCGGUGAAAUGCGUAGAUAUCGGAAGGAACAUCAGUUGCGAAAGCUUCUUCCUGGACCAAUACUGACGCUCAUGUGCUAAAGCGUGGGGAGCAAACAGG
rnacentral:rRNA from 1 species